AGAUUACUCGUGUCUUGGAUGAGAAUAAAUUAAUGAGAUACAUUGGUGUAGAUCUAUUAAUAUUUAUGGUACGUGCUUUAAUGUUUGGAUGUUUUGAUUUUUUGUUGGAUUUUCUAGUAUGUCUAUUUUAUUUGGUUAGCUUGGCAUGAAAUUCUAAUAAAUAUUGGCUGUAGUUACAACAACCCUGUGACUUUGGUAUUGCGGGGCAGGUGCGGCAUGUGGCUAGACUCACGACGUGCCAUCGGCUUGUGCAGAAAAGAAGCAUGGACAACUUUUUAUGCUCAAGUGGAAAUUGAGUCUAAACUUGUUAGUUGGGCAUAUUUUGGCAAUGCACAUAUCAACUUAUAUAUGUGAUAUUAAUUAGAGAACAGAGUAGUUUAAAAAAAGAAACAAAGGGGUACAUGCAAAGUACGGGUGCUAUAUAUUGGCAUUGGAUACCAAGUUCUAGGUAUAUUAUGAGACAGAGAUAAUAUUAACUAAAGAACAAAACAAUUCCUGGAAAAAAGAGGAGCUUGAUGUGCCAGUACAGUCACCUGGGAGGGGCUAGCGCGGCAUCAAUUCCAACGGAGAUGUUGGACGCCCUACGGCACCCCAGUUCUUUUUUACUGAUCCGUCCGUCUGACACCUACAUCAAUUAGCCAUCUGUGCUCGUGAUGGGAGAGACCAGCGUUCAGCCCCUGGUACUGUGUAAUUCAUCGUGUACCUCUGCAUCCAUGGCAUCUCUAUGUGGACGGAACUUAAAAUCCAGGACAUCAUGGAGCGGUGGAUAAGAACGACGCUAGGGUUCUCUCUAGCAAGUUUUGCUGCGUUGGUGGAGCAGGAAAUCCGAGGGAAUCUUCAAGGAAAUAUUUCUGGAAGACAACUCUCUUUUUUUAGUUGGGUUGAUCUUCUGAUGUACGGAUGAAUGGGCAUGACUCUUUUUGUAAGAUCUUUCUGUUUCUAUGAACCGGACGUGACCAAGCGUAAUUUUUUUCUGAAGAUCUUCUUUCUUAUUUGGGUUGUAAAUCUUUUUUUAGUUAGGUUGUAAUUUUUUUUCUAGUUCUUUCUAUGUACGAACGUGUCUUUUUUAGUUGGGUUCCUAUGUACGGACGUAAGUGGGCAUGCCUUUUUUCAGGAUCUUCCUAUCCCUAAUGGACCGGACGUGACUGGGCUUUUUUUU